ensembl:lncRNA
CGGAAAUAAACAUAUAUUAGUUGAAUUUAAUAAGUAUAAAAUAUGGCAUUAACCCCUGUGAGGAGAGUAAUUCAUUCGUUUCAGCUAAAUAAUGUGCUUUACUGUUAAUGGCCUGUGAAUUUGACAUUGAGGCCCCUGACAAUCCUGCAAAAAGAAUUUCAGUUCGCGUAAAAAGCAAAUAAUUUAUUGGGGUUGGUAUAUAAAUUCAUAAAAUGUAUCAGAUCCAGUUUAUAUUAGGCUACUACGCGGUGAAGCGCUCUGAAAAACAAAGAUACAGACUGAGCACUACUCAAGCCCCUAGGCCAGCCGACACAUGGGUCGCUCUCGAUUGGUCAGAGUAAGGCGAGGCCCCUCCCCUCGUUGUUGUAGGCAAUAUUUACAUGUUGAGCCAGAAAGUACAGUUAAGUAAUGAAGACAAGCAACGCGAGCUAUCAUUCACCGUUUAAAGUGGCGCUUAAAGAGACAUAAUGACCUCGUUCUUCAACUGUUAGCCAGGUGGGAACUUUAUGACUUUCACGGCCAAGUACUGUCAGGAUCAGAGGAAGACUGCGCCCUCGUCUUAGCCCGGAGGCACCCGAGAGAGACUGACGAGAACCAUUCUGGAUCAUCAUGUCAACACCCGAUUAACCUCGGACCUGCUUCAAGGCAACGUGCAAACUGAUCGACCAACACUGCUGCCCGCACUUUUUCACCAAACAACUCACUGAACUGGAGAAGGACUUUCACUUCAACAAGUACUUAAACAAAUUAAGAAGAACCGAACAAGUACCUGAGCAAAUCAAGAAGAACCGAAAUAGAUCGCGCUGUGCACCUGAGCAGGACCCAGGUGAAGAUCUGGUUCCAGAGCAAGCGGAUGAAGCAGAAGAAGAGAAAGAAGGAAGGCCUGGCUCCUCCAUCUGCUCUGUCACCACACUGGCUCUCGCUGUCAAGAAAAAAGUGCCUGGAACUGCAUCAGACGAGCAGUUCAUUCAAACCUUAGCUACUCAUGGUGUAGACUUUAGCAUCUAAGUGCCCUUACUGAUUUUCAUGAAUAUUUCAUGAAUAUUUAUACUGAAACUGUGCUUUUUAAAUAUUUGAUUAAAUUACUAAGCAAAUUGUUGCAGCUUUAAUUUUCAAUACUGGAUUCAUUUUUAAUUGUUGAACAUUUACAUUGAGUAGAGAGUUUAUGAAGUGCAUUUUUAAUCACAGCACUCAGUGUUUGUUAGAGAGAGAGAACAUCCAUAUUGAUCUGUACCUGGUCUGUGAUUAGAUUAUUUUGAUCUCAAGAGUUUGGUGUUACUCAAUUUUUAUAAAAGUUCUUAUAAAAUCACUGUAUUGAAGUCAUUAACUAGUAAUAGAAUAUAGUAUUUCUACUAGUGCUGUCAAACGAUUAAUCGCGAUUAAUCGCAUACAAAAUAAAAGUUUUUGUUUGCAUAAUAUAUGUGUGUGU